GAUGAACGCUAGCUACAGGCUUAACACAUGCAAGUCGAGGGGAAACGGCAUUAAGUGCUUGCACUUUUUGGACGUCGACCGGCGCACGGGUGAGUAACGCGUAUCCAACCUUCCCAUGACUAAGGGAUAACCUGCCGAAAGUCAGACUAAUACCUUAUGGUCUUCACUGACGGCAUCAGAUGUGAAGUAAAGAUUUAUCGGUUAUGGAUGGGGAUGCGUCUGAUUAGCUUGUUGGCGGGGUAACGGCCCACCAAGGCAACGAUCAGUAGGGGUUCUGAGAGGAAGGUCCCCCACAUUGGAACUGAGACACGGUCCAAACUCCUACGGGAGGCAGCAGUGAGGAAUAUUGGUCAAUGGGCGAGAGCCUGAACCAGCCAAGUAGCGUGCAGGAUGACGGCCCUAUGGGUUGUAAACUGCUUUUGUAUGGGGAUAAAGUCAAUCACGUGUGAUUGUUUGCAGGUACCAUACGAAUAAGGACCGGCUAAUUCCGUG
rnacentral:rRNA from 1 species